UACGAAGGGGGCUAGCGUUGUUCGGAUUUACUGGGCGUAAAGCGCACGUAGGCGGAUCGUUAAGUCGGGGGUGAAAUCCUGGAGCUCAACUCCAGAACUGCCUUCGAUACUGGCGAUCUUGAGUCCGGAAGAGGUGAGUGGAACUCCUAGUGUAGAGGUGGAAUUCGUAGAUAUUCGGAAGAACACCAGUGGCGAAGGCGGCUCACUGGCCCGUUACCGACGCUCAGGCGCGACAGCGUGGGGAGCAAACAGG
rnacentral:rRNA from 1 species